UUCGCAAUGCCCGAAAGGGUGACGAGGCGACGCCGCGUGGGUGAGGAAGGCCUUCGGGUUGUAAAGCCCUGUCAGGAGUUAAGAAAUGUAGACUCGCUAAUAUCGAGUCUAUUUGACAAAGGCUCCAAAGGAAGCCACGGCUAACUCUGUGCCAGCAGCCGCGGUAAUACAGAGGUGGCAAGCGUUGUUCGGAAUUAUUGGGCGUAAAGAGCACGUAGGUGGAUUUGUAAGUCAGACGUGAAAGCCUUCUGUUCAACGGAAGGAUUGCAUCUGAAACUACAAACCUUGAGUGUAGGAGGGGAGAAUGGAACUUCUGGUGGAGCGGUGAAAUGCGUAGAUAUCAGAAGGAACGCCGGCGGCGAAAGCGAUUCUCUGGCUUAUUACUGACACUCAGUGCGUGAAAGCUAGGGGAGCAAACGGGAUUAGAUACCCCGGUAGUCCUAGCCGUAAACGAUGGGCACUAAGUAGAGGGGUUUU
rnacentral:rRNA from 1 species